GACAGAGGUCCCGAGCGUUAGGCGGAAUCACUGGGCUUAAAGCGUGUGUAGGCGGAUUGGUAAGUACCUUGUGAAAUCCCACGGCUUAACCGUGGAACUGCUUGGUAUACUGCUUAUCUUGGGCCACUUAGGGGCUACCGGAACAAACGGUGGAGCGGUGAAAUGCGUAGAUAUCGUUUGGAACGCCAAUGGUGAAAACAGGUAGCUGGGAGUGUGCCGACGCUGAGACACGAAAGCCAGGGGAGUGAACGGG
rnacentral:rRNA from 1 species